CUCUAUUUUUUGAAAAAAAUUAUUAUAUCCUAUGUAUAUUAUGAUAUCCUACGUUAUAUUAUGACAUUCUGUGUACAAAAAUUAUGAUUUUUGGACGCUGGACAUAGGAUGUCAUAAUUUUUUUAAAAAUAAAAAUAUUUUUAUAAUUUAAAAUUUUAAAUAAAAAUAAAAUUAUAAAUAUUAAAUAUAUAUUAAAAAAAUGAUAGUUACGUAAAUCAAUGGGA
rnacentral:lncRNA from 1 species